rnacentral:rRNA from 1 species
UACGAAGGGGGCUAGCGUUGCUCGGAAUCACUGGGCGUAAAGCGCACGUAGGCGGAUCGUUAAGUCGGGGGUGAAAUCCUGGAGCUCAACUCCAGAACUGCCUUCGAUACUGGCGAUCUCGAGUCCGGAAGAGGUGAGUGGAACUCCUAGUGUAGAGGUGGAAUUCGUAGAUAUUAGGAAGAACACCAGUGGCGAAGGCGGCUCACUGGUCCGGUACUGACGCUGAGGUGCGAAAGCGUGGGGAGCAAACAGG